CUAUGGCUCUCGUUUACGUUGGAGAUGACCAACUCGCCUCUGGGCCCCCCGCCAGGACCCAUUGACACUGAGAGCACAGAGCCAUUGAACCGAAGGGUGUGGUUGGAUGGAAGGCUGUACCACCAUGUGAUAUUAGGGCCUGGCAUCCAGGGCCUGUGGGGAGAGGAGAAGAGACAAGUGGGUCAUAGACUGGGAACGGCCCUGAUUGCCCAAUCCUGAGCCCUUCACACCAGCAGUGGUCCUGAUGGCAAUGAUAGCCCCCAUUCUCAGCCUCCCCAGGACCACACUGGCUUGUGGCCACCGCCCUGGACAUUGCAGGAAGGAGGAAGGUCGGAAGUGAGAAAGAGAAGGUGUGGAAAGAAGCCCCCUACGGCAACUUUGUAGUCACGGGCUUAGGACUCAGGCAGCAGCGUCCAGUCUCUGUUCCCAGCGUCACUUGAGUGGCUGACCUUCCCCUCUGAAAGCCUCGGUCAGUGUGGUCACACUCGGGUGGGGGAGGGGAAUGGAGAGUCUGAUGAGGCAUGCCCUCCCUUCCCCUCCCCGACACCCUUUGUUACCUCCCCUCAGCCUGCCCUGACCUUCAUUCCACACUUACCUCAGUUCCUCAUUCUGACUUGUGGUUGUGUGUUGUGGGGCAUGGUGGUCUUGGGCCUAACAGUGGACUUCUCUGAGCCUCCUCCAACCCAACUUGAUACAUCUUGAUACAGAAAGUUCCCCCUGGUUCCCUGCUCCUGUUCCUUUUCUUUCUGGGACAGGGUCUCAGUAAGUUGCCCAGGCUAGCCAUGAUAGAACUCAGUAUGCAGCCCAGGCUGGCCUCAAACGCAAUAGCCUCCCCACCACCGCCUCAAUCUCCCGAGUGUUGGCAUUACUUUAAGGGGUGUGCCGCUAUGCACCACCCUGCCUGGCUUCCCUCUGCUUCUGGCUCCACUCUCCACCCCUCCUGUCAGCUGCACCACCCCCACCCUCACCCAGCACCUUCCCUUUUUCCAUAUUACCCAGGC